rnacentral:sRNA from 1 species
AAGACGAUCCGACGCAGGCGGUUUUCUUUUCGCAUAAUUAAGGUCAUUCACCUUGAAUAAUUGAGGGAUGACCUCAUUUAAUCUCCAGUAGCAAUUUUGACCUGUAUUAUGGGAGGAGUUAUGCGUCUGGAUCGUCUUAC